UCACAUCGCAUUCCAAUCCAAAGUAAUUCUUUAAGUAUUCCAUAAAAUACUUUCCUUGGUAUCUCGAUUUCACCACAAUUAGCUUACCUCUAUGUACAGAAGAAUUCUUGAUUAGUGAGUUAUUUGAAUUCUCGAUAUAAUAAAAGUUGAGUUCGAAUUUGUUUUUCUAAAUAGCAACGCAUAUAGACAAUGAAAUCUUUAUAAUAUUUCACCAAUGGCCAGAAGAACUACAACGUCUUCUUACCUUUCUCUAAAUUUAAUAUUGAAAAAAUUUAAGAAUUAAACAGUUAUUUGCUUUAAAUAAAAUUAUAAAUUCAAAUGCUACAGAGCGAAUUCCAAACCUAAAUAAUACUCGAGUCUUAUUAGUUUAAAUGUGUUAUUUUUUUAAAAAUUACUUUUUAAAAAAUAAUUUAAUUAGAUUGGAGUAACUAGAUUGGAAUAAGUUAUUCAGUGGUAAUUUUUUUUUAAUUUUUAGAAAUUUAAAGUGGACCACCAAUGGUAAUAAAUAAAAAAAUACAUUUAAUAAUUUUUAUUAAAGUAAGUAUGUAAUUAUAUAAAUUCAAUAAUAAUUAAAUAUAUUUGCAGACAUGAACUUAUAAUAUGGGGCGAUAUGUAAAGCCACUCGUACCCGGAAACCCAAUAUCACUCGAUAUCAACAUGGCGAGCUGCCACCGACCAGUAGUUAUGGCCACGUCUGGUCCACCUGUAAUUUUCUCCUAGUCCCACCCCAAAUUUCUAAUAAUCUUAUAACCGUCCGUUAGAUUAUAAAUACCAACCUGCUUCUCUUGCCCCGACGCUCUACCGUAUGAAAUACUCGAAUUUUGAACCCGCAAUUCACUAUACCUAAUGAAAGGCCAUCGUCUCAUUUUCUCCUUUCUCUUCUUUGCCACCGUUGCUUUCGCGGCACUGGCCGGCGGUUGGCAGCCUAUAAAGGAUUUGAAAGAUCCGAACAUCGUAGAGAUCGGAGAGUACGCGGUAAAGGAAUAUAAUAAGAGAGCGAACACCGAUCUGAUACUGGUGAACGUGGUGAAGGGUGAAGAGCAGGUGGUUUCGGGGAUGAAUUAUCGUCUGAUAUUGGAGGUGACAGAGGGAAAGGCCAGCAAGAAGUAUCAGGCGGAAGUUUGGGAGAAGGCGUGGGAGAAUUUCAAGAAUCUAACGUCGUUUGAGCCCGUGAAAGAGUAAUUUUGUGAUUUUAAG
rnacentral:lncRNA from 1 species